UGGGGAAUUUUGGACAAUGGGGGAAACCCUGAUCCAGCCAUCCCGCGUGUGCGAUGAAGGCCUUCGGGUUGUAAAGCACUUUUGGCAGGAAAGAAACGUCAUGGGUUAAUACCCCGUGAAACUGACGGUACCUGCAGAAUAAGCACCGGCUAACUACGUGCCAGCAGCCGCGGUAAUACGUAGGGUGCAAGCGUUAAUCGGAAUUACUGGGCGUAAAGCAUGCGCAGGCGGUUCGGAAAGAAAGAUGUGAAAUCCCAGAGCUCAACUUUGGAACUGCAUUUUUAACUACCGGGCUAGAGUGUGUCAGAGGGAGGUGGAAUUCCGCGUGUAGCAGUGAAAUGCGUAGAUAUGCGGAGGAACACCGAUGGCGAAGGCAGCCUCCUGGGAUAACACUGACGCUCAUGCACGAAAGCGUGGGGAGCAAACAGG
rnacentral:rRNA from 1 species